rnacentral:rRNA from 1 species
UACGAAGGGGCUAGCGUUGCUCGGAAUCACUGGGCGUAAAGCGCACGUAGGCGGAUUGCUAAGUCAGGGGGUGAAAUCCUGGAGCUCAACUCCAGAACUGCCUUUUGAUACUGGCGACCUUGAGUCCGGGAGAGGUGAGUGGGAACUGCGAGUGUAGAGGUGAAAUUCGUAGAUAUUCGCAAGACACCAGUGGCGAAGGCGGCUCACUGGGCCCGGGUUACUGACGCUG